GGGGGUGUGGCGCAGUUGGAAGCGCGUCUGCGUGGCACGCAGAAGGUCAGGGGUUCGAAUCCCCUCACCUCCA
rnacentral:tRNA from 1 species